UUCAGUGGUAGUCAGCUAUCCAGUGCUUGUUUGUGCCUGAGAUUGUGUUACACCACUGGAAGAAAAAGGCACUGCUGCAGCUACUGAACUGGUGCUGUAGUGUCAUUCUUCACUGAAAGGGCCUUAACCUACAAAUCUGGUUUUAUGGCACUAGUCUGGAAGAGCACAUU